rnacentral:rRNA from 1 species
UACGGAGGGUGCAAGCAUUGAUCGGAAUUACUGGGUGUAAAGGGCGCGUAGGCGGCAGGAAAAGUCUGAUGUGAAAUUCCGGGGCUCAACCCCGGAGCUGCAUUAGAAACUAUCCAGCUAGAGGUUAGUAAGGGAAAACGGAAUUCCACGUGUAGCGGUGAAAUGCGUAGAUAUGUGGAAGAACACCGGUGGUGAAGACGGUUUUCUGUGCUAAACCUGACGCUGAGGCGCGAAAGCUAGGGGAG